rnacentral:rRNA from 1 species
CAGUCGCCACGGGAAUACAGAGGGUGCGAGCGUUAAUCGGAUUUACUGGGCGUAAAGCGUGCGUAGGCGGCUUCUUAAGUCGGAUGUGAAAUCCCUGAGCUUAACUUAGGAAUUGCAUUCGAUACUGGGAAGCUAGAGUAUGGGAGAGGAUGGUAGAAUUCCAGGUGUAGCGGUGAAAUGCGUAGAGAUCUGGAGGAAUACCGAUGGCGAAGGCAGCCAUCUGGCCUAAUACUGACGCUAAGGUACGAAAGCAUGGGGAGCAAACAGGAUUAGAUACCCCCGUAGUCCCUGUCUCUUAUAC